UCCUACGGGGCGCAGCAGUGGGGAAUAUUGGGCAAUGGGCGCAAGCCUGACCCAGCAACGCCGCGUGAAGGAAGAAGGCUUUCGGGUUGUAAACUUCUUUUAAGAGGGAAGAGCAGAAGACGGUACCUCUUGAAUAAGCCACGGCUAACUACGUGCCAGCAGCCGCGGUAAUACGUAGGUGGCAAGCGUUAUCCGGAUUUACUGGGUGUAAAGGGCGAGUAGGCGGGAUUGCAAGUCAGAUGUGAAAACUAUGGGCUCAACCGAUAGAGUGCAUUUGAAACUGCAGUUCUUGAGUGAUGGAGAGG
rnacentral:rRNA from 1 species